UAAGGUGGUUAUAGCGACGGGGCUCACCUCUUACCAUUCCGAACAGAGUAGUUAAGCCCGUUAGCGCCGAUGGUACUACAUCUCGUGGAAGAGUAGGUCGCCGCCUUGU
rnacentral:rRNA from 1 species